GUGCUUCCUUCAGCAGCACAUAUACUAAAAUUGGAACAAUACAGAGAUUAGCGUGGCCCCUACGCAAGGAUGACAUGCAAAUUUGUGAAGCAUUUCAUAUAUAA
ensembl:snRNA U6 U6 spliceosomal RNA